CUCUUCCCUUUCAAGAAGCCCUUUCUGGGGGAGCUCCUCGUUUGGCCUCUCCCUUCCCCCGUGUACUGAUGGCUCCUACACUGUAGCACACCCAGAUAUUCUAUCCAUGUCUCUGCCCGUUCUCUGCUUUUCUGUUUAGAACUGCUCAGAAUUUCCCACACCAGAGCCUUCUGCUCCCACUCCCAACCCCAUCUAUCCCAUGUGUCAUCACUCCCCAGCCCAUCCAGGAUGCCUUCCUCCCCCUGAAGGCUCACGGUCCACUGGGUGUUUGCUUCCACACUCGGCUAGCCUGCCCUUCUCACCUCAUUCCUGUGACACCCCUGCCAUCCUGACUCCUUCCUGCCCCGACUGGCACACAACCCCUUCCAUUCAUGAAGCCAGGGCCACGUAUCUCUCAUGAGAAAAAUCUUUUCGCUGAGCCUGGAGCAUCACCCCCGACUCACCUGGUUCUCAGUCUACCCAUCCCACCCAGCACCCCUCCUGCUGACUGUCCUCACACUGAUUCCCGACCCGCUCCUUUGCUGGCGCUUGUCUCCCUCCACUCACAUGGAUUAAGAGCACAUUCUGCUGUGAAUGACAGACAGUGCAAUUCCCACUUCCUUAAACAAAUAGACAAAAAGAAUUGGUUGGCUUAUGUAAAUGAAAAGCCCAGGCACUGCUGCCUCAGGUCUGGAUUUAGUUCUAGACACUGAAGAAUCCAGAGAGUCGCCAUCUCUCAGCUUUGCUUCCUUCUGCAUGGGACCCCAGCAGAUCCAGGCUCACAACCUCACAGCAACAAGUCCAGCAGAGAAAGAGCUUCUCUUUGUCAACCAUCCCACCAGGCCUUGGGCCUGGCUCUCAUCAGCAGGAGUGGGCCACCUGUCCCUCCUGUUCUCCCAGCCACCGUGACCUCGAGGGAUUCUCCCAGAAACUUUGUAAAGUAGAUGGAGCCAUUACAGGAAUUCCUCCUCAACUUUGCAUCUCUCUAGUUGAAAUGCUGGUCUAUGUGGUUGGAUUUCUACGUCCUUUUUCCACACUCAGGAGCCAUUAUAAUGGAGGCAGGACAAAUGAAGCAGAAUCCAAGAGAUUCCCUCAAAGAAUUCUCUGGGAUGGCUGUAGUCAGAGUAGACAAUCAGAGAUCUCAGAAUCUGGUGCAAAGUCCUUCUGAUACCUAAGUCAUGGGGAAGGUCUUCUAGGAAGCCCUCCUUGACUGGCCUGGUCCAUAUCCUUCCUCGCCCCACUGGAACAUUUGCUGUUGUUCGAGUCUCCUGCUCUGCUCUGUCCUGUGACCUCCGCACCUCUGCGUCCUGAGGACACAGCACAGGUUGCUUCUCAAGGUCAUCGGCUGGGUCUUCAGUGUCUCCUGGACUCCACGUUUGCGCUCCUGAGCCGUGGCCCAAGCCCUGCAUUGUCCUACCAGUUCCCUUUUUGCCCUUUCCUCCCUGCCUCCAGAACUGACCUGCCUACCUUAUGACCCUUUACUCUGCUAUGAAACCAAGGAUCUGGUUUGUAAUAAUCUAAACAUGCGGUGUAAUUUUUCAUUUUAUUAGGAGAGGAGCCAAAUUUUAGGCAGCCUUGUCUCUUGGCUAGGUGUCUUACCCCAGCUGCCUUAUUUAUGGCAAAACCUCUUUGAGGCAGGUGCAUUACUCUUUUUGCCAAUGUGGAAAUUAAGGAGCCAUGCGCUCAAGAUGGCACGGGGGUUGGGGGGGGUGAUAGGGCAGGGGAGUGAGGUCCAGGGCACGGCCUUUUCAAUCAUUUCCUCAGCUCCUGGUAUCCCUUUCUUGCUCUGCAGUGUUAGCAAUUGUCACCAGAUGGUGUCGCGAGGCAGCUGCGAGCCGGGCUCCCCUGGAUGGAGCUGGGGGGAGGCCGAGCCUGCGGCCCCCACCUUCACCACCAGGGGGCAGGCGGGGGAAGGCAAAGGGCUGUAGGGCCGCGCAGAGGAGGGGAGCUCUAAGGGGCUGGGAGCCCUGCUCCCUCCGAGCUGGGGCAGGCCGCAGCCCUUCACUGAUUAUGUUGGUCACUCUAAACAUUACAAGCUCCAAAAUGUGCUAUUGAACUCUUCCUUCCAUAUGUCACAGCACCGUAGCCUACCAAGCAGAACUUGAUGGAUAACAUCAACGCUAUCCCCUCUGCAACUCCUGGCUGGAGCAGCAAAGAGAAUCACCCCCCAUUACCUCUGCAGAUGCUUUCCAGGCUUAAUUUCAUCUUAUCUUUACGUCUUUGAGAGGUUCUGAGAAGGGAGAUGCCUUGCCCAAGUUUACAAGAUCGCAAUCCCAGUCAAACGCCUUCAAAGUUUCUUUUUGUUUGUUUGUUUGUUUGUUUGUUCCACCCCCCCCCCCCCCCCCGCACCUCCCCUGCCU